rnacentral:misc_RNA from 3 species
GGGAGCCGUAUGCCCGAAUUGGGCCCGUACGGAUCUGUGCGGGGGGCGCGAGGUAACUCGCGUCCCUACCGCGAA